rnacentral:rRNA from 1 species
UGGGGAAUUUUGGACAAUGGGGGAAACCCUGAUCCAGCCAUCCCGCGUGUGCGAUGAAGGCCUUCGGGUUGUAAAGCACUUUUGGCAGGAAAGAAACGUCGCGGGUUAAUACCCCGCGAAACUGACGGUACCUGCAGAAUAAGCACCGGCUAACUACGUGCCAGCAGCCGCGGUAAUACGUAGGGUGCAAGCGUUAAUCGGAAUUACUGGGCGUAAAGCGUGCGCAGGCGGUUCGGAAAGAAAGAUGUGAAAUCCCAGAGCUUAACUUUGGAACUGCAUUUUUAACUACCGGGCUAGAGUGUGUCAGAGGGAGGUGGAAUUCCGCGUGUAGCAGUGAAAUGCGUAGAUAUGCGGAGGAACACCGAUGGCGAAGGCAGCCUCCUGGGAUAACACUGACGCUCAUGCACGAAAGCGUGGGGAGCAAACGGGAUUAGAUACCCUGGUAGUCCACGCCCUAAACGAUGUCAACUAGCUGUUGGGGCCUUCGGCCUUGGUAGCGCAGCUAACGCGUGAAGUUGACCGCCUGGGGAGUACGGUCGCAAGAUUAAAACUCAAAUGAAUUGACGGGGUCAUAGCUGUUUCCUG